rnacentral:ncRNA from 1 species
ACGUCGUGAGACAGUUCGGUCCCUAUCCGUCGUGGGCGCAGGAAAUUUGAGAGGAGCUGUCCUUAGUACGAGAGGACCGGGAUGGACGCACCGCUGGUGUACCAGUUGUCUUGCCAAAGGCAUCGCUGGGUAGCUAUGUGCGGACGGGAUAAGUGCUGAAAGCAUCUAAGCAUGAAGCCCCCCUCAAGAUGAGAUUUCCCAUAGCGUCAAGCUAGUAAGAUCCCUGAAAGAUGAUCAGGUUGAUAGGUCAGAGGUGGAAGCGCGGUGACGUGUGGAGCUGACUGAUACUAAUCGAUCGAGGACUUAACCAA